UACGAAGGGGGCUCGCGUUGCUCGGAAUCACUGGGCGUAAAGCGCACGUAGGCGGAUUGCUAAGUCAGGGGUGAAAUCCUGGAGCUCAACUCCAGAACUGCCUUUGAUACUGGCGAUCUUGAGUCCGGGAGAGGUGAGUGGAACUGCGAGUGUAGAGGUGAAAUUCGUAGAUAUUCGCAAGAACACCAGUGGCGAAGGCGGCUCACUGGCCCGGUACUGACGCUGAGGUGCGAAAGCGUGGGGAGCAAACAGG
rnacentral:rRNA from 1 species